GCUACUACCGAUUGAAUGGUUUAGUGAGAUCAUCGGACCGGCCCCGGCACAGCUUUUAAAAGAGUAUAGCCGUGGAUAGCCGGGAAGACGAUCGAACUUGAUCAUUU
rnacentral:rRNA from 1 species